UGGGGAAUAUUGCACAAUGGAGGGAACUCUGAUGCAGCGACGCCGCGCGAGUGAUGAAGGACUUCGUUUCGUAAAACUCUGUUCUAUGGGAAGAAAAGGACUGUACCAUAGGAGAAAGCUCCGGCUAAAUACGUGCCAGCAGCCGCGGUAAUACGUAUGGAGCGAGCGUUGUCCGGAAUUAUUGGGCGUAAAGGGUGCGCAGGCGGCUUUACAAGUUGGAUGUGAAAUAUUGUGGCUCAACCACAAACGUGCAUCCAAAACUGCAAAGCUUGAGUUAAGGAGAGGUAAGUGGAAUUCCUGGUGUAGCGGUGGAAUGCGUAGAUAUCAGGAGGAAUACCGGUGGCGAAGGCGACUUACUGGACUUAAACUGACGCUCAGGCACGAAAGCGUGGGGAGCAAACAGG
rnacentral:rRNA from 1 species